UUGUACUGACUCUGUUUUCUGGAAGCUGUUUUGCAGCAGGGACACCAGACUGGUGGGGCACAGCUGAGGGCACGACAAACUGCACAGCACAGCAAAACGUGGGAGGAGAUGCUUAAAACAAUUUUUCUACUCAUGGACAUGAUCUCGUGAUGACUCAUAUAGAUAGAAUCGACCUUUUCUAAACCCAAUCUCCUACAGUUGAUCAAGGAUCUUAGAUUGCAUGAGGAAAACUUUACUGGUGGAGGAGGAAGAUUGGAAAUGCAGCAAAGGCAUGUCCUGCAGGCUCAACCAUCAACUCAGAUAACAAAGGAAUCCAGACUUCCCUGUACAAUGUUUCACAAUAGUAAAACCGUUUUAAAGCUUUUUCCAGAUGAGCAUUGAAAACUUGUGUUGGCAGAUUCUGUAGGUAAGAUUGCCAUGGAAAGGGCUGCAGAGGGUGUUUGUGUCCUUUUAAAGAUACAUGGACACACAGAGAUGGAUCUGGAGAAGCACAGCUCGAAGUUGACAUUGGCAAGAGCUGACAAAGCCCAAAGACGUGCUGGUAUAAGGCCUUGGUGGGUCUCAGCUCAGCAGUGAGGAGGCUGCAAAUGGGUGAAGCCAUGGCAAAGCACACAGCACUCUGCCCUGUGCUCUUGCUGUUUGCUUUGGAUCAGCUCUGUGCACACUGGGACCACUACAGUUCUUAAGCCAGCCAAGAGCUGGACAGUUACCUUGUGGGCUAGUGAGGAAGCACUGGCUUGGGGAAGAGCUCAAGGAGAGGAGGGGAGCCUGCAUUCUCAUGCUGCUCAAACAGAUUGGGAGGAAGAUCUGCCCAAUGCUUAUCCAUAAUGAAAUUAAUUUUGGAAGGCAACAGCUCUUUUUGAGAAAUCACUCUAUUUACAAGAAUGGGGAUUUUUUAUUUUCAGUUUUGCUUUUGUGUUCUUUGUUACUAGCAGUUUCCAUUUUAGCAGUGCUUCUUGGCAAAGGAAGUGAUAAAUACAAACUUGAGUUACACCCAUGCUUUGUUUUAGCAGGCACUUCCAGCUGGGCACUGGGACAGUGCAGUGGUGCCCUUUGGGAAGGUCUCUGCAGUCUUCUUCAGUUCCCAUGGCUGGUUUAUGAUGUGGUGGCACAAAGAGUUUAUGUGAUGUAUUUGAGGGGCAAAGUGGUACAGUGCUGCACAAGGAGCCUUCGUCCAAGGCUGUGUCCUGAGCUCCCCUUUUGUGAAAGAAGGGCUGGGGUCAUUCACAUGCUCCUUCCACCACAGCUUAACAACCAAGACUUUUUGAGCCAUACUGAAACCACGUUGAUGUUACUCCAUGCCAGUGCCCAGCUGUAUAAAGGACAUUUGUCUUAUUUGGAGAAAUACAGCCCCCCUUCCCCAUAACACACUUUGAAGAGAAAGGUGGAAGGUGGAGCUGGGUAAGUGCACCUUGUGGCUGAAGUGUGCAUGCUAAGAGCAGGCUGUGAAUUUUAACUUGCUCUUUUAACACAAAAGCUUAGCUCCUAAACUAGGAAACAGCCUUUGUACUCACUGCUAUCAGCAAGUUCACUGUUUUCACUAUUACAGCUGAAAUAGGAGAACUGGGUGUGUAAUUAGACAGCAAGACAACUUAUAGCACAAUAUGUUUGCCAUCUUCUUCUGCUAGCUGCUGAUGGCUCUACAUGUGUUAUUUAAAUUACAGCCUAGCAGAGGACACUGAGUUGCUCUUACAGAUCUAAAUAUGAGGAUUAUCAGGGUUCUUCCAUUGGGAUUGCCCAAGAGGAGAGAUCAUGGCCAGGACCCUUGCUGGGAGCGGAGACCCCCGGUGUGCUCUGCAGAUUUGCAAACAGCUGUAUUUCCUUUUCUUCACUUUGUCUUUUUAAGACACAGUUACCACUGCUGACAAGGAAGGGGUGCUGGUUUUAAUUUUGAAUCAGUCAAAACUGAUAAACUACCCAGAAGUAAUGGAUGUGCGUUUUGAGCACCCCUCAUUGCAGUCUGCCUACAGAACCUACUUUCAAGCAGCAAUUUCCUCAUCUCUCAAGAUAUCCAGAGAGUAGAAGUUAGAGAUGUUUUAUAAAUAUUCCACACAUAACCUGUUUUUUUCCAGGCGUAUCCUUUUUCUUCACUCAGAAAUUUUCUCCAGGGUCAUCUGAGGCUGUGAUAACGUGCAGAGCAUCCCUCAGCAGCCUGCUGAGCCUGCAGAAAUCUCAAAUUUACACCAUGUCCAUCUUCAGCAGGAGUCAGAUUAUUUGGGAUUUGCACACAUAGUCCAGAAAACUGAGGCAUACAGGUUUGGCAAAUCAGAUGGAUCCUGCAUAUAUGCCUUCACUAUAUGCAUGCAUAUAUUGUACAAGUGCUUAUAUUCCUAGCUUGAACAUUGUGAAGAGAAAAAUGAUGUUUCUAAUUUGUAAUUUUUUGGUGCUUAUCUUGUUAUAAGCGUAACAUGCACUUAUUCCAAAUAAAUAAUUUGUGUUUCAUUCCCAAGGGAGCACAAUAGCUAGGCAGGGACAGCAGAUUGCAGAUAACACGCUUAUAAUCAAUUAGCAGAACAAUGCAGUCCUCUGAAGUUUUCUGCAAAGCGUUCAACUUAUAAACGUGCACAGAGACGAGGGCAGGAGCUGAGAUCUGAACCUGGAGGGAAACUAUGGCAGCAGGAGAUAUAAACUGGCAAGUGAGGAAGUUUUGCUAAGAGGAAAAAGCAGAUGAGAGCACAUUGUUAAAAAAAAUCCCUUUUCAAGCCUGGCUUCCUGCCUGGAGAUUUGGCACUGUGGUUGUUUUGAAAGAACUCUGUCAAUUCCCAGUGCAGUUCCUGAGCUCAAUGACUUUCCAUCUGGUGGGGCUCACAGAGAAAACCCUUGCUCUCCACCAGAUGAGUGUCUCUGCCUGCCACAGAAUUCAGGCUCCUUACAGAGCAGGACCAACGUAUAUAGGAGUCCUGAUGUAAGUCCUGAUGUAGGUUAGCAGUGCUCUACCUCCACUCUGAUGUGUGUGUUACUGGGUCUGUCCCUUCCCUCCUUAGGGACAGCCCAGGUGUGAGAUGUCCUUGGGUUGACAUUCUCAAGCCCUACAGCUCCUGUCACCGCUCAUGAUGGGAGGAGAAGAAAUCAUUCUCAUGGAUGCUUGAUCUAGCAGUUGUUUCUUUAGACACCAAACUGCAUCCAGCUGAUGAAGGGGACCACCAGACGGAAGAAAUCUCAGCACCCAUUUCCUCCGCAGGCAGAUUAUGAAGAAUUCAUGCUUGAAGAGCACUUUGAGAGAACUGAGUUUUAAGACUGAAUUAUUGACGCUUUGACAAACCUUUUGUGUGUGUGUGUGUGAGAAUUACUCAAUAUGUUGACUAAUCGGAUAACGUACAUGGCACUGCUCCAAACUUAAAGCCUCCAUGUCUGCAUAGAUAGAAAGCAUCAUGUCCAAGCUGGCUUCCAAAAUUUCUCCCUAAUUUCUGCUCUUUGGUGGGCUCUCAGCAGUUACUGCAGAAGGUGAAUCCUGUGAAGACAGCAUCAGUGAAAGGUCAGCUGGUGGUCAGCAUCGUGCUUCGCUGGGUCGGCAGCACAGCUGAAUGUUGCCAGGAAAUGAACAUUUGUACGGCCCGAGGAGCAUUUUUAAGGCCAGCUGGUUUUGCUUCCAGCUCUGCAUACUGAGUCACAUGGGGUCAGGCUGAGGCGGACACCUGCAAGUAGAGUGGCGGAUUGGAGCUGAGUUAACUAAGCUGCCCUUUGCUGAUUGCAGACAUGUUUGCAUGCUGGGAAUGGAGGUGCUGGAGCAGAUGAUGUGAUAGCUGUUAAUGCAAUGCAGAGCGUGUACACGUGGCUGGAGUGAAAAGCAUCAAAGCCGAUGAACACUUUGAAAUGCUGCAGAAAACUAGGGUGGAAAAAAAGUUAAACUUAUGUGAGGAGUAAAAGGCAGUCCUGGGGUAUGUUUGUGAUGUGCUGCUGAAGAUUUAUGCAACUCUUAUGAAAGAAAGAAAUGCAGCUGGACUUGUGCCAAAGAAGGGGUUAAAAGCAAGCAGAGAACACGUGCUGUUCCUGGAGACAAACAAAAUAGCCUGUGGUCCUGAUCCAAGGAGGCUUCUGAGCGCGAGGGAAAGG